rnacentral:rRNA from 1 species
UACGGAGGGUGCAAGCAUUAAUCGGAAUUAUUGGGCGUAAAGGGCGCGUAGGCGGAUUUGUAAGUCAGAUGUGAAAUUCCGAGGCUCAACUUCGGAGCUGCAUCUGAAACUACAAACCUGGAGGGAUGGCGGAGAAAAUGGAAUUCCGCGUGUAGCAGUGAAAUGCGUAGAGAUGCGGAGGAACACCGAUGGCGAAGGCAGCCCCCCUGGGCCAACACUGACGCUCAGGCACGAAAGCGUGGGGAGCAAACAGG